UUUAUCAAAAACAUAGCGGUGCGUUACUAUGCACGGUAAUUUCUGCUCAAUGAAGAUUAAAUAGCCGCAGUACCCUGACUGUGCAAAGGUAGCAUAAUCAUUUGGCUUAUAAUUGAAGUCUGGAAUGAAUGAACACACAGAUGACUACUGUCUCGUUGCGCUCUGUAGACCUUACUUAGCGGGUGAAAAUGCCGGCGGGUAAAUAUUAGACGAGAAGACCCUAGAAAUUUUGAUGAUUCGUUUUUGUUGGGGCGACAGAGUAGCCGAACCUACUUUAAACCAUGCGCAGCCAUUGGGUAGUAAAGAUAAAUUACUCUAGGGAUAACAGCAUAAUUUAUUAAAGUUUGUGACCUCGAUGUUGGACUAGGAAAUUGGUAUUUAGAAGACUCACAAUAAUGCUCUGUUCGAGCAGUAUCUCCUACGUGAUCUGA
rnacentral:rRNA from 1 species